UGGGGAAUAUUGCACAAUGGGCGCAAGCCUGAUGCAGCCAUGCCGCGUGUAUGAAGAAGGCCUUCGGGUUGUAAAGUACUUUCAGCGGGGAGGAAGGGAGUAAAGUUAAUACCUUUGCUCAUUGACGUUACCCGCAGAAGAAGCACCGGCUAACUCCGUGCCAGCAGCCGCGGUAAUACGGAGGGUGCAAGCGUUAAUCGGAAUUACUGGGCGUAAAGCGCACGCAGGCGGUUUGUUACGUCAGAUGUGAAAUCCCCGGGCUCAACCUGGGAACUGCAUCUGAUACUGGCAAGCUUGAGUCUCGUAGAGGGGGGUAGAAUUCCAGGUGUAGCGGUGAAAUGCGUAGAGAUCUGGAGGAAUACCGGUGGCGAAGGCGGCCCCCUGGACGAAGACUGACGCUCAGGUGCGAAAGCGUGGGGAGCAAACA
rnacentral:rRNA from 1 species